rnacentral:rRNA from 1 species
GAUGAACGCUGGCGGCGUGCCUAAUACAUGCAAGUCGAGCGGACACACGAGGAGCUUGCUCCUCUGACGUUAGCGGCGAAAGGGUGAGUAACACGUGGAAAACCCACCUAUAAAACUGGGAUAACUUCGGGGGACCGGAGCUAAUACCUGCUAAUAUAUUCAACUGCAUGGUUAAAGAGUGAAAGACGGUUUUGAUGUCACUUUUAGAUGGAUCCGCGCCGCAGUAGCUAGUUGGUAAGGUAACGGCUUACCACGGCAACGAUGCGUAGCCGACCUGAGAGCGUGAUCGGCCACCCUAGAACUGAGACACGGUCCAGACUCCUACGGGAGGCCGCAGUAGGGAAUCUUCCGCAAUGGGGGAAAGCCUGACAGAGCAACACGGCGUGAGUGAUGAAGGUCCUCGGACCGUAAAACUCUGUUAUUAGUGAAGAACAAAUGUGUAAGUAACUAUGCACGUCUUGACGGUACCUAAUCAGAAAGCCACGGCUAACUACGUG